AGCUUUGGAUAGCUCAGUUUGCUAGAGCGUGAUGCUGAUAAUGCCAAGGGUGCAGGUUCAAUCCCUGGGCAGGCUC